rnacentral:snRNA from 1 species
AUGUUCAUGUACAUAAAAA